rnacentral:rRNA from 1 species
UUUUCCUACGGGGGGCAGCAGUGAGGAAUAUUGGUCAAUGGGCGAGAGCCUGAACCAGCCAAGUCGCGUGAGGGAGUACUGCCCUAUGGGUUGUAAACCUCUUUUGUCGGGGAGCAAAAGCCGGACGUGUCCGUCUGUGAGAGUACCCGAAGAAAAAGCAUCGGCUAACUCCGUGCCAGCAGCCGCGGUAAUACGGAGGAUGCGAGCGUUAUCCGGAUUUUUUGGGUUUAAAGGGUGCGCAGGCGGAUUUUUAAGUCAGCGGUCCAAUCGUGGGGCUCAACCCACUCCAGCCGUUUAAACUGGGG